CUCUAUUGUUAUCACAAUACUAUUGUAUGUGAUCAACAAUAUUAGGAACUACUCCAAGUUCAUUUAUGAACAUCAUGAUCCAUAUUGCAACUCUUUGCUACUUCUAAAGUAUCCAUGUAUUAGGUUUCUACUAUUGAAUCAACGGUUGCUCCACGUUUGGAACCUUUCCAACAUACCGCUUAAGAGUAAACCAGUUUCUCCAUAUGAAAUCUUCUCAAGAUUUCAUCUAUGUAAAUUGGGAUGAG
rnacentral:lncRNA from 1 species